rnacentral:rRNA from 1 species
UACGGAGGUGGCAAGCGUUGCUCGGAAUCACUGGGCGUAAAGCGUGCGCAGGCGGCUUUGCAAGACAGAUGUGAAAUCCCCGGGCUUAACCUGGGAACUGCAUUUGUGACUGCAUGGCUGGAGUGCGGCAGAGGGGGAUGGAAUUCCGCGUGUAGCAGUGAAAUGCGUAGAUAUGCGGAGGAACACCGAUGGCGAAGGCAAUCCCCUGGGCCUGCACUGACGCUCAUGCACGAAAGCGUGGGGAGCAAACAGG